rnacentral:lncRNA from 1 species
AAGCUUGUCAGGGGAGUUCUGGGAGAUGUAGUUCCUCUUUCUCCUGCCAUCGUGCAUUCCCUCCGCCCCCUCCCCCAACCUCCUCACACACUUCAUCGAUCAACUGCCAGUGUCGUUACCAUCAACAUAAACGACGGUAGUAAAUAAUGGCAGUAUGAUUACAUUCAUACUUUAUGUACCACCCUCUCAACAGUGCUGCAAAGGCUGUUUGGAUAUGGAGGAGGCCAAAGUGGCAAUUACUCAGACUGGCGUCCAAAUCUGGAAAUUCCCACACCAGCAUGUUCUCUCCACUCUGCUCCCUCUUCAGAGGGAAUUGGUUUGCAGGGAUUUAGACUACAGUAAGGCUUCCCCAGAGCUUGCAAACAGGGUUCAUUUACCCUCUAUGCAAACAAGGUCAACAACUCCGGAACUGCAGUAGAAGCAGCAAAGAACAGAAAUAAUUUGAUACUAACAUCCUCAUUCUACAGAAUUUGAGGAUCUUUGAACUCCUCCAUUCUGAACUGACCGUGACCUGCUGCAGUUGCUGCCACCAGCCCCUACCAUUUCUCCUCCCGGACAGUCCUCCCUCCCACAGUUCCCAGCAAGCAUCCUUAAGGCCGCCUUCCCCUGGACAUUCCGAAGUCCUCCAGGCUUAGAUUUAUUGUCUGGUGUUAACUAUAGUCUGUAUCAUUUAUAUAUUUGCCUUUCUCCUCUUUCUAUUUUGUGUAUUUCAGGGGUCAGCCCCUUCCCUGUCUCUUCUGAGGAAAACACUUAUUUUUCCUGCAUUGGAGAACAAGACCCUAUUACCUCUAUUCACAAGUGACUGGGCCAGAGCUGGACAGAGAACUAAUUCAGCCAUCCACAGACAACUGCCAGGAUAGCUGUUUCACACCAAGAUAAACUGAAUGUGAUGGCUAAUCCUGGUUGUUAGCUUGACACACCCAAGAGGGAGCCUCCAUUGAAGCCUGGCCACUAUCAGGCUGGCCUGUGGGCACUUCUACUGGGGUAUUUUUUUGAUUGCUGAUUGAUAUAGGAGAGUCCAGUCCACUGUGGGCCUGGGCUGUGUAAAAAAGGUAGUUUGAAGGCUGGUGAGAUGGCUCAGCAGUUAAGAACACUGACUGCUCUUCUGAAGGUCCUGGGUUCAAAUCCCAGCAACCACAUGGCAGCUCACAACCAUCCCUAAUGAGAUCUGAUGUCCUCUUCUGGUGUGUCAGAAGACAGCUACAGUGUACUUAUUUAUAAUAAUAAAUAAAUCUUUGGGCCGGAGCAAGCAGGGCUCCACCAGAGCCGGUGGGGUUGAUUAGAGCGAGCAGAGGUCCUAAAUUCAAUUCCCAACAACCACAUGAUGGCUCACAACUAUCUGUACAAACCACAUGAUGGCUCACAACCAUCUGUACAGCUACAGUGUACUCAUAUACAAAAAAAAAAAAUAAAUAAAUCAU